UACAGAGGGGGCAAGCGUUGUUCGGAAUUACUGGGCGUAAAGGGCGCGUAGGCGGCCCGCUAAGUCGAACGUGAAAUCCCCGAGCUCAACUCGGGAACUGCGUCCGAUACUGGCGGGCUUGAAUCCGGGAGAGGGAUGCGGAAUUCCAGGUGUAGCGGUGAAAUGCGUAGAUAUCUGGAGGAAUACCGGUGGCGAAGGCGGCAUCCUGGACCGACAUUGACGCUGAUGAGCGAAAGCUAGGGGAGCAAACGGG
rnacentral:rRNA from 1 species